AUGUUCACAUUUCUCUCCACUGUUACUGUCUCACUGCUCUGUGCUGCAGGUCUUGUUGAGGGGAGUGAAGUCACUCAGACACCCACCAUACUCUGGGAACUGAAAGACAGGGAUGCUCAGAUGAACUGCAGUCACACUAAGGAUGUAAGACACAUUCAGAUGUACUGGUACAGACAGCUUCCAGGAGAGGGAAUGAAGCAGGUAGCCUUCACUACUCCCAGUUCCAAACCUGAGUAUUCAGGGGAAUUCAGUGAAGACAAAUUCUCAGCCAACAAGACUGUAGUUGAGAGGGGAUCUUUCAAGGUGAAGAAGUUGGAGGCAGGAGACAGCGGCAUGUACUUCUGUGCUGUGAGUCAACACAGUGAUACAGACAACAACGCGGCGACCCUCGCCGCCGACCUCGGACUGGGGACCCUAGCCACGGGUCCCGAAUGGACGGGAGAUUCCGGCAUCUCCGGAGUGAAGGGCGAUUCCGGCAGCGCCGGUUCUUCUCUCAGUAACCAGGUUCACCAGAGACCUGAAGACCUGUACAAGAACCAGGGAGAGUCGGCUAAGAUGGAGUGUUCACAUAGUAUAUCAACCUAUAAUGUCAUCCUCUGGUGA